UGGAGCCCCGAGUGCCCUGGCGGCUGCUGCCGCCCUGUGCCAGCCCAGCCCUGGGGCGUCCCGAGGCGGGAAGGCCCCGGGCUCAGCCCUGCCAGGGCAGGAGGGCGUGUGGCCGGGCCGGCAGCGCCGCCGGGGGGGAGCUGUGCCGCUGGGGCCCUGACAGCAUCUGUGUUCCCAGGGAUGGCCGGGAGGUACCUGCGGGGACAGAAGGAAGAGUUGCAGAACAUCAUCGACACCCUUCAAGCCAUGACAGAUGACAGCAGCCCCACUGUCUCCAACCUGGCGCUUGAAAACAUCAACUUCCUUAGAGCUGUACAGAGAGCUCCCUACCUCCAGCAGCUCCUAGACAAGUUCUGCAGGGCAUGGAAUACCCGGCCUUAAGUGUGGGGCUGGGUGUGCCCGUGAUGCUGGAGCUGUGUGGAGAGCUGAUGCAGGCAGCUCUGUCUGUUGGGGCCACCUGAGCCUGUGGGGAAGACGCCUCUUCUCUGCAAGCCCUUCCUUUUACAUUAGCAUAGGAAUAUUAAAUAAAUAUUUUCAUACACAGAGGCUCAGGAGCUUUUUUGGGGUGCCCGGUGUCCACAGGGCAUCUGGGAAGAGGGAAAAAAGGGCCCUUGUGCUCAGCAACACAUGCCCAGGUGUGCAGUGCAGAAGGCCAGUCAGACUCCCAAAACUGAGGACGAAGAUUCUUCCCAGACAAAAGGUGCCAGGACAGAAAGCUCUUGCUGCCCAUGGAGUGCCCAGGCUGACCCACCAACUGCACCUGAAACCCAAAGGUCCUGCGUGCCCGGAGAGCUCCAUAAAGAGCCCCUUGUGCCUGAGCAAGAACGCUGGGGCAGCCGGGAAGUGCUGCACUCACUCAACACCGGCCUCCUCUUACUGCACAGCCGGCUGCCUUUCCAGGGAAUUUAGGAAAACGAGCCCCAGUGCUAAGGAGACAAACACUGGUUUGGGACCCUGAGGUGCAGCGAGGAUGGAUGGAUGGAUGGAUUCAGAAAAUUUGGAAAGAUGCAGUAAAUUUGGAUGCAUUCCAACGCCAGGGGUUCAUGGUGAAUCCUGCUGCCUUUGGGCCUGGCACUGAACAUUCCCAGAAUAAACCACGUUCCUUGCCUGAGAGACCUCCAGCCACCAGGCAGGGGAUGUGUCACGGCAGCAAUAAAGUCUUAGGAAAUCAGGUCUCUCCUGGCCUGUAAUUCCCAUUCUGGAAGGGAUUUUCCAAAGCAUCAGAUUAAAACCAACUGAUCUGUUUAGUUCUUUCAUUUUGGCCUUCCCAGUCGCAAUUCCAAAGCUUCAACUGGAAGCCCUCAGUGUGUUUUGGGAUGAGAGCUGAGUGCCUUUUCCAGCACCUCUGGCUCUGCUUUCCAGGACAUGGGGGUAGGAAAUCUCCUUCUUCCCACUGAGGAGGGGGAAUGGGGUCUCAGAGAGCGUUGGAGUUGCCUUGGAUUUGACAUUUUUUUCCCAGGAACUUCCAUGUUCAAGGUGCUCAGCUACGGGGAAGGAUGAAGUGGGAUGAAGUGGCCUCAUGGGAAGAGCGAGGGACAUGGAAUCACAGAGUAUCCUGAGUUGGAAGGGACCCACAAGGAU